rnacentral:rRNA from 1 species
UACAGAGACUGCAAGCGUUAUUCGGAUUCACUGGGCGUAAAGGGUGCGCAGGCGGUUGGGUGUGUCAGAUGUGAAAUCCCGAGGCUCAACCUCGGAACUGCGUCUGAAACUACUCGACUAGAGUACUGGAGAGGGUAACGGAAUUCACGGUGUAGCAGUGAAAUGCGUAGAUAUCGUGAGGAAGACCAGUGGCGAAGGCGGAUCUCUGGACAGUUCCUGACGCUGAGGCGCGAAGGCCAGGGGAGCAAACGGG